GCUUGGCGGGGUCUGAGACUGCCCAAGCGCAAACAGGGCUUCAAACUCUGAAUUCACGGGCUAGUCUGGAAAUGCCAGUACCUGGGAAACUCGAACUUGGCUUUUCAGCGCCGCUUUUCCCUGUAUCCCCUCCAUCCCUCUGGCUGCCACCGUCCUGCCUCUGGACCCCGUGGUCAGGCUCGCUGCAGAGCCCCGUGGACCCCGCCGGGCUGAGCGGUCCACACCUCGGUCAGGCCUCUUGGAAGGACUGCCCCAGCCAUGUUAUAAAAGGAGGAAACGUCACAGUGGGCAGACCCCACUCCUGCGUUAUAGACAGGAAACUCAGGCGUACAGUUUCUCUAAUUCCAAGUUCGACGUUACUACCUGCUUCUCAAAUGAGUAAUUGGCAGCCUCAAUUCUCUGCAGAGGGGAUGCAGAAUAGCAGAGUAUCUGUGAUACAACUUUCGGGAACAUCAAUUUUACUACAAGAUUUAUAAGAAAUGGAGUUAAGUAACUUCCAAGCAGGAGGUUCUAGGCCAUGGGGCGGCAGAGGAAAGAUGUUCACCAGGAGAAUGGUUCACAAGUCAUCAUUGGUACUACAAUAGGAUUCCUAACUCCACAUGUGCCAUAACAUCUUGAAAGCCAACAGGAGAAAACACGAGGCACCAGGACACCGUAGGUACACUGCCGUCAGUUAUAGCUCAAAAUUAGAGACUCCCAGUGAUGAACAGAUGUGGACUUAGUAUAUUCCAGAGGAGUGAUGGACCAGAGGGACCAACUUAGGACGCUGAGGCAGAGAGUGCCCGUGGUCAUAUGGGAGCUCUCGGGAACAGAGCUCAGCCAGAACCUGGGUCUCCUGAAUCUCAAGCUGUUAGUCUUUCAUGACAUGAUAUUGCCAAUGAAGAGCCCAAUUCAAGCCCUCCGUUAUGUUAAAAGAAGAAAAAAAGAGAAAAGAGGGCCUCCUUCCUCUGUUUUAUUCAUGUGUUAGCUUCUGUCAGAUCGCCUCCCUCAGCAUCACAGCUAUGAGAUUCACCUGUGACGUGUGUCAGCAUCUGCUCCUGAGCACAACUGAGGAGUGUUCUGCUGUGUGAAUGCCCCACAGCUUCCCUACUGAUGACACGUGGGUUAUUUCCUCUGUGAACAUUGGUCCCCUUUAGGCCAGAGCAAUGGGAUCAGAGAAUACUUCAUUGCCAAAGGCCCAGUCCUAUGUGUGAGUGAGGAGGGGUGGUUCUCAAAGACAAGAGGUUUGGGUUAAAUAGACUUGCACUUCCCAAAUACCUAUCAGUACUUUCCUCCUUACUUGAGACUGUUUUCUAGAGGAUCUAGGCUAAGAAAAUUGAUACUAGAAAUGGGAUAUAAAACUGAACCUUUGGAGAGUAUUUUGGAAUUGAGUUGCUCACUUGUUUGAAAACAAUUGCUUGUGAUAAGUUAAGAGGAUGUACCAGGAGCUGCAUCUGUGCUGCCAUGUUAACUCAUAGAGCACCUGCCUCCGCCUGAUUCUGUUCGGUCAGCUUUGUCAGGUCAUGUUGAGGCUGUGCAAUCUCACCAAAACAUAUGUGUCCCUGAGCUUACCUUGUCCACAUCAUUGCAUAGAUGUGGUCCACAGAUUACAUGUCAGUCAGGAAUGGAGGAAGAUGACAAAGCAGACACUGUAGCCAUGGGCGGUUGGUAGUCUUCCCUCACUGACAGCUCAGUGCUGAGGCAGCAUCUGCUGUCUCCCUGGUCCUAGAAAUGCAAGGUCCAUCUUUCUACUCCCUGUUUGAUUGGUAUCUAUUGGGGACUGCUUCUGGUCUUGUCUCUUCCAUCAUGAGUACCACUUUUUCUCUUUGCCGAGAAUAAGAGUGUGAGUAUGCUGCUUUGUUAUGAAUAUACAUGGAACCUUACUCCCCUUUCUAAGUAAUGGGGCAGAUAAAAUGGCCUAUGAGUCUUGUUGGCUAAGACAUGGCCUGAAAUUAAAGUUGCUUUUAUGGCCACUCAUCACUGAACCUUAGCAUCGAAAAUGACACAAAUUUUAUAUACAAGUGAAUUAAGUUAAUAAGUUCAUUUCUGAAAAGGCAGCCCAACUCAUAAAAUUCUAAAAUCUGUCUAUAAUUGCUCACAUUAGGGCCAGGAAUUCUAAUUUUCAAGUAAAGAACUGAGUCUCAAUCUCAGACUGAUCAUAAUUGGCAAAAUCGAAUGGAAUCCAUUUCCCAGCCUUAUCUUGAUGGAGAUCAACUUCUCUACAUUCUCAAAGCUGCCGUCUAUAGUAAUAGCGAGCCUGCAAGAUCCAGGGAAGCUAAAACCAAAGCAUUCAAAGGACAAUUUUCCAGUACUUGAAAUGCCUGUCAACAUCUUCUGUCCGUUCCCAGGUUUCAAAAAGAUCUGCAGGUCAUGAAGUCAGGGUCUUCUUUUCACAGUUGUGGGGGAAGUCAUCGAAUCCCUUAGUGUUCAAGUUAUGAUCCUCAAAGCUGCCUUAGUAGCCACUAACCCCCCAAAAUGUUUGUAAUUUCUGUGAUUAGUAGGUCAAGUGCAAUCAGGGAUGGUGUAUAUUUUUCAGGCUUGGUGCUCAACAAGUGCUUAGACACCAUUGAUCCUAUAUUUCAUAGAAGUGGGGAAUAAUCAGUACUUAUCCAGAGACAUCUUAGACCUGCACACCAUGAGGAAGCCAGCACCUGUACCAGCUUUGCUGUGCUUUUUUUAGUCUCUUAUG